rnacentral:rRNA from 1 species
UACAGGGGGGGCAAGCGUUGUUCGGAAUUACUGGGCGUAAAGGGCCAGUAGGCGGCCAACUAAGUCCGACGUGGAAAUCCCCAGGCUUAACCUGGGAACUGCGUCGGAUACUGGAUGGCUUGAAUUCGGGAGAGGGAUGCGAGAAUUCCAGGUGUAGCGGUGAAAUGCGUAGAUAUCUGGAGGAAUACCGGUGGCGAAGGCGGCAUCCUGGACCGACAUUGACGCUGAACGGCGAA